CAUUUAGUGGCUCAAGUCUGCUGCUUCACCUUUGAAGUCUCCUAAUUCCAUUCUUUUCUCUUAUAGCUUCCAUUUCACCUCGACUUCUUGUUUCGACUCCCUUCCAGGUGACAUUCUCCUACCAAAUGUUUCUGUGGUACCUUAUCCUCACGUCCAUCAUGGUGCCAUCCUCACUGCAGCAUAACAUCCUUGACCUUCCUGUCCCUACCUCCCUGUAUACAAGAGAUGCCCAAAUGAACUCCAAAGAAGGCAUUGGCUGUAACUGCAAGGAAGCACAGCUACAUCAUUUAAUAACACUGGGAAAACAUUGGUGUAGCUCCGACAGAUAACCCUUCCAGGGAAAUGCAAGCAUCACAAGAUGAGAACACCAGCAGUUAUAGAAAAGGCAGCAUAAAAUCAUGCAUGUUGAAUAUAAUUUACAAAAAAAAAAAAGAGAGAAUAAAGUGAUGAAAAAUGCACACUGGUAGGGGGUAGAUUUCGGUAUCAUCAAAGCAUCUGUGGAAUUAAGAUAAUUACAGCAUUCAGAACUUGGGACAAUAAGAUAAAAAUAUAUUGCUAUGUUUUUUGUUUUUUUUUUUGCGGCGGGGGUGGGGGGAUAAUGUAUUUGAUAUAAAGAAAAAGGGAAAGGAAAGAGAAAUUAUUACCAGCUACUGAUUACUUAGUCCUACCAGGUAUCACAUUAAGCAGUUCCAAUAAGCUAUUUCAUAGAACUGUUCAGUAGUUAUAUGGGGUAAGUAUUAUUAGCAACAUUUUUAUAUAUAACAAUGUUCAACUGUCU
rnacentral:lncRNA from 1 species